GUGUAAAAUGUUAUUAGGCUGCAUUAACAUGUAGGUUACAUGAGGAAACACAAAACAAAUUGAGUAGCUGCUUUGUUGGCGUCUACAGGAGCAGCGGCUGCUCUUAUUCAACAUCUAUAACUACUUUCUUUAUCAGAUCAGAUAUCUCCUGGACCCAAUUUUUUUCAUGGAAGCAAUCAUCGGUAUCUUCAUCUUGAUACCGUUUUGAGUUCGGUGACCAACUUGAUACAUUAAGCCCACUUCAGUGACCAACUUGAUAAUUAACCCUUUUAAUUUAUAUACAUUAUUUACGCUAAUCUAAAUCAAAGGUGCAACUUGGAUUAUUAUUAUUUUCUUGUUAUUAAUGGAUUGUAUUUGUUUCAGGUAGCGUGGUCUUACAAGUUAGGACGUUUUCUUUUCGGACAUUAAGUUUUAUUGUCUAAACUUCCGGAGACAUUUUCAUGUCUUUGGGUUAUAUAAUAAGCUUUUUGAAUGAAUUAAACUCCUCGGAGUAUUGGUGUAUCUCAUUACGGGCAAGUGCUUUUCUGUCCAAAAAAAAAAAAGUGCAACUUGGAAGAACUGCGAAAAUAGCGACACUGAUAUGCUUCUUUUUCUGCACUUGGAGAUAUCUGCUAAACUGUAUGCAGAGAGGCAAACCGAUAUCUAGGAGAUGUGGUGUGAUUUGGCCCGUCAUCCGGCUAGCUAGAAAAUUAACAUCUGCCACCAUAGAGGCUCAUGUAAUAUUGCUAGCUCGGGCUUUAAGUCUACAAUCACAGAGUGAAAUAUAUCACACAAUCAGUAUGAUUAUAUACAAAUUACAUAGCAUCAUGGAUGACAUGCAUCAUGUAUGAGUAUUAAGAAAGCAUGUGAAAGAACAUACCUCACUCGAGCGCGGUAGUGUACAAAGCCAUCUCUUUCCAUGUCUGUGGCUUCAAAUUUUUAGUGUGAGUGGUAACCGAUAUGGACAUCGAGUGAAGAAUAGAAUUCUCUGCAAAUCAAAUAAAUCAGUUCAGCUAUUCUAGCACCUUACACGCUCUAAUGGAUCAUACCAGAUUGUUUAGCUAAAACGAACAAAAUCUGAAAAUAAAUGCAUAAUUUCUUAGAAUGUGGGCAAGGUGAAACUUAGACAACAUAUAAUUAGAAAAAAAUACAUAUAGAAAACAAAUUUCUGAUCUCAAUCACAUGAUGUAUAGGGUAUAUUUUGGAGGUUCUUAUUCCCUUUUUCAUCAAUCAAAUUGCAAUAUUUUGAAGAACACUAAAUAAGGUAACUAAAAGAAUAUUCUUAUUUAGGAUAGUUUUUAUUUUAAAUUUAUGAAUUCAGAAUUGGACGUGUAACUAAAUCUAUUUUAAAAAAAAUAUAGAUAUAAGAAUAUUGUCAAAGACAUCAAAUUUGAUAUCAGAAUAUAUAUUUAAAUGAUGUAAUUUUAAUGAUAUAUGAAUUUGAAAUAUUAUAACUUGUGAUUUAAAGUUUUUUUUGCGGACAUAGAAGACUUUAGAUGAUAUAUGCUUCCAUUUUAUAUGAUGUUAUCAGUGUGACGUUGUUAUAUGUUAUGAUUAUUAAAAAUUAGAUGCAUCGAAUAUAUAGAUACAUAACUUGUGGGUGAACGAGUUGCAAUAUUAGAUGAAAUCAAAUGGCUGUUCAUCAUGCCUAGGUUAUUUAUAGUUGUUGCUGAUGUAUCGAAAGCUUAUGAAUCAGUAAAUCAAGAUAAGUUGCUUAGUGUGAUGGAAGAUUUCUUCUCAAGUGAUAAAUAUCUUUUGGAAAAGUUUCAUCGAGUAGUGUGUACAAAAAAAUCUUUGCGGGUUACUUUAAUUUUAUAUUUAUUCUUUUAAUAAUUCACAAGUUACACAGAACAACAACGUUGUCCAAAUUAAUACUAACUUAAAAUUAGUUUUUUCACUUUUGACUUGAUCAACUUCAAGUCAUGCGAAUUUUUUUUCAAGUUCAUCUAAAAAGGCUCUAAAUAAAUUGUCAGAUAUACAUCGAUGGAAGAUGCAAAAAGCAGGAUAGAUGCUCAGAUGCCUCUUGAUGUAAAAAAGACCAAGGAUAUAUCAAAAUGAUGUCCACACUAUUUUUUUAUUAUAUAAUUAUAUGUAAUUAAAAGUUUAAUUUAUUAGCUUGUAUUGUGUGUAUAUGCAUUAAAUAAUACAUUUAUAUAAAUUUACAUAAUUGUACAAAUACUCAAAUAUUUUAUACAUACAUAUAUAAAUAUAUUAUUUGAGCUUAGUCGUAAAAAAAUUGUUGCAAAAUCAUAGUCAAUACAGUAGAGCCAUAAAAAAUAUCCGACAUCAGUUCGAAAUAUCCGCAUCCAUAUCCGAGAAAAAGUGGAUAUUAUCCAUAUCUGAAUCCAACAGUGGUUUCGUCAUCUCCUUUAUAACUACAAGUCUGUUACAUAUAGACUUCUUUUACUCUUACAAUAUUAAAGAGUUUUAUACCGUUUAAAUUACAAACACUUGAGAUGUAGUACAAGAUAAAAACUCCACCAUUAUUCUUUUAAAUAUAAUUUAUAUACUAUUUAUAUACUAUAUAAUAAUAAACCGACAUUGGUAUAAUUUGUAGUCGAACAAAAAAUAUAAUUAGUUGGUAAAUAUAAUCUUGUUAAAAUCCAAUCCAUCAAUACUAAAAUACUAAUAAGAUGAUGUUAAAAUUUAAAUUGUAAUUAAUAAAUUACGGAUUCUAUACCCGUGUUUAAUAAGAACGUGGAAAAAGAUAUCUAGUGGGAGUUGUUUUUACGGAAAUACCUUAAGAUUCAUCAACAUCCACUCAGACAAACACUGUUAGUAGAAAGGCUACUCGAAUGUUGUUAAUACUGUUAUUACAACGGCUGCUCCAAUAUAUGCAAUAUAAUAUACAUAAAUAUACAAUCAUUUCCACUUUACUGGUUUAAUUGGCCUUUGAGUGGAAUCAUUUAUUUCAUAAAUUUGAGUUAAAAUUAUAAAAUUUCGUUUUUAAUAUCGUAAUAAUGAAAAAUCUUGAUAAUAUAUGAUAAAUUAUUAAUUUUUAUAAUAUAUAUAUAAUUAAUCUCACAAAACCACUAAAUUUUACUUGCACCUAAUCUUAUGACAACAAAACUACUUGGCGAGAGAUUUGUAAUAAUCUCAAUAAUAAAAAGAAUGCUUGUGUAAAAUGUUAUUAGGCUGCAUUAACAUGUAGGUUACAUGAGGAAACACAAAACAAAUUGAGUAGCUGCUUUGUUGGCGUCUACAGGAGCAGCGGCUGCUCUUAUUCAACAUCUAUAACUACUUUCUUUAUCAGAUCAGAUAUCUCCUGGACCCAAUUUUUUUCAUGGAAGCAAUCAUCGGUAUCUUCUCUAUUACCACUGGCCCAUAUAAAACAGAUGUGCAAUUAAAUAAACAAACUAUAUUAAGAAAAAUUAUGUAAAUUACAGCAAAUAUGCAAGCUAUAACAGAUUCUCGUAGUCACAUAGUCCCAUAAAUCAUAAGAAAAUAGUUUACAGUUAACUCUCCCGUUACAAUUUAUUUAAUAAAUGAAAGAAUAUUGAGAAACAAAAAAAUAU
rnacentral:lncRNA from 1 species